rnacentral:rRNA from 1 species
UACGUAGGGCGCAAGCGUUAUCCGGAAUUAUUGGGCGUAAAGAGCUCGUAGGCGGUUUGUCGCGUCUGCCGUGAAAGUCCGGGGCUCAACUCCGGAUCUGCGGUGGGUACGGGCAGACUAGAGUGAUGUAGGGGAGACUGGAAUUCCUGGUGUAGCGGUGAAAUGCGCAGAUAUCAGGAGGAACACCGAUGGCGAAGGCAGGUCUCUGGGCAUUAUCUGACGCUGAGGCGCGAAAGCGUGGGUAGCAAACAGG